GACGAACGCUGGCGGCGUGCUUAACACAUGCAAGUCGAACGGAAAGGCCCUGCUUUUGUGGGGUGCUCGAGUGGCGAACGGGUGAGUAACACGUGAGUAACCUGCCCUUGACUUUGGGAUAACGUCAGGAAACUGGGGCUAAUACCGGAUAGGAGCUCCUGCUGCAUGGUGGGGGUUGGAAAGUUUCGGCGGUUGGGGAUGGACUCGCGGCUUAUCAGCUUGUUGGUGGGGUAGUGGCUUACCAAGGCUUUGACGGGUAGCAGGCCUGAGAGGGUGACCGGCCACAUUGGGACUGAGAUACGGCCCAGACUCCUACGGGAGGCAGCAGUGGGGAAUAUUGCACAAUGGGCGGAAGCCUAAUGCAGCAACGCCGCGUGCGGGAUGACGGCCUUCGGGUUGUAAACCGCUUUCGCCUGUGACGAAGCGUGAGUGACGGUAAUGGGUAAAGAAGCACCGGCUAACUACGUG
rnacentral:rRNA from 1 species